rnacentral:rRNA from 1 species
AUUGAACGCUGGCGGCAGGCCUAACAAAUGCAAGUCGAGCGGAGCGGCGGACGGGUGAGUAAUGCCUAGGAAUCUGCAUGGUAGUGGGGGAUAACGUCCGGAAACGGGCGCUAAUACCGCAUACUAUCAGAUGAGCCUAGGUCGGAUUAGCUAGGUGGUUGGGUAAAGGCCUACAAAGGCGACGAUCCGGAACUGGUCUGAGAGGAUGAUCAGUCACACUGAAACUUAGACACGGUCCAGACUCCUACGGGAGGCAGCAGCGGGGAAUAUUGGACAAUGGGCGAAAGCCAGAUCCAGCCAUGCCGCGUGUGUGAAGAAGUUCUUCGGAUUGGAAAGCACUUUAAGUUGGGAGGCGUUACCAACAGAAUGAGCACCGGCUAACUUCGUGCCAGCAGCCGCGGUAAUAC